rnacentral:rRNA from 1 species
ACGGAGGGUCCAAGCGUUGUCCGGAUUUAUUGGGUUUAAAGGGUACGCAGGCGGGACUUUAAGUCAGUGGUGAAAGCCUCCAGCUUAACUGGAGAAUUGCCAUUGAAACUGAAGUUCUUGAGUAUGGAUGAGGUGGUUGGAAUAUAACAUGUAGCGGUGAAAUGCAUAGAUAUGUUAUAGAACACCAAUUGCGAAGGCAGAUCACUAAACCAUUACUGACGCUGAGGUACGAAAGCGUGGGGAGCGAACAGG